rnacentral:rRNA from 1 species
AACGAACGCUGGUCGGCAGGCUAACACAUGCAUGUCGAGCGCGCCUUCGGGUGAGCGGCGGACGGGUUAGUAACGCGUGGGAACGUGCCCUUCUCUACGGAAUAGCCUCUGGAAACGGAGAGUAAUACCUGUAUACGCCCUUUGGGGGAAAGAUUUAUCGGAGAAGGAUCGGCCCGCGUUAGAUUAGGUAGUUGGUGGGGUAACGGACUACCAAGCCUACGAUCUAUAGCUGGUUUUAGAGGAUGAUCAGCAAAACUGGGACUGAGACACGGACCAGACUCCUACGGGAGGCAGCAGUGGGGAAUCUUAGACAAUGGGGGCAACCCUGAUCUAGCCAUGCCGCGUGAGUGAUGAAGGCCUUAGGGUCGUACAACUCUUUCGCCUGUGAUGAUAAUGACAGUAGCAGGUACAGAAACCCCGGCUAACUCCGUGCCAGCAGCCGCGGUAAUACGGAGGGGGUUAGCGUUGUUCGGAAUUACUGGGCGUAAAGCGCGCGUAGGCGGAUUAGAAAGUUGGGGGUGAAAUCCCGGAGCUCAAACCCGGAACUGGCUCCAAAACUGCUAGUCUAGAGUUCGAGAGAGGUGAGUGGAAUUCCGAGUGUAGAGGUGAAAUCCGUAGAUAUUCGGGAGGAACACCAGUGGCGAAGGCGGAUCACUGGCUCGAUACUGACGCUGAGGUGCGAAAGUGUAGGGAGCAAACAGGAUUAGAUACCUGGUA